UACGUAGGGGCCUAGCGUUGUCCGGAAUCAUUGGGCGUAAAGAGCUCGUAGGCGGUUCGGCAAGUCACGUGUGAAAUCUCCACGCUUAACGUGGAGGCGCCACGUGAAACUGCCGUGACUCGAGUCCGGUAGGGGAGUGUGGAAUUCCCGGUGUAGCGGUGAAAUGCGUAGAUAUGUGGAGGAACACCUGUGGCGAAGGCGGCUCACUGGACCAUAACUGACGCUGAUGGCACGAAAGCUAGGGGAGCAAACAGG
rnacentral:rRNA from 1 species